GUGGGGAAUAUUGGACAAUGGGGGGAACCCUGAUCCAGCCAUGCCGCGUGUGUGAAGAAGGCCUUUUGGUUGUAAAGCACUUUAAGCGAGGAGGAGGCUACCGAGAUUAAUACUCUUGGAUAGUGGACGUUACUCGCAGAAUAAGCACCGGCUAACUCUGUGCCAGCAGCCGCGGUAAUACAGAGGGUGCAAGCGUUAAUCGGAUUUACUGGGCGUAAAGCGCGCGUAGGUGGCCAAUUAAGUCAAAUGUGAAAUCCCCGAGCUUAACUUGGGAAUUGCAUUCGGUACUUGUUGGCUAGAGUAUGGGAGAGGAUGGUAGAAUUCCAGGUGUAGCGGUGAAAUGCGUAGAGAUCUGGAGGAAUACCGAUGGCGAAGGCAGCCAUCUGGCCUAAUACUGACACUGAGGUGCGAAAGCAUGGGGAGCAAACAGGAUUAGAAACCUGGUAGUCC
rnacentral:rRNA from 1 species